ACGGCUCAGUAACACGUAGUCAACCUAACCUAUGGACGGGAAUAACCUCGGGAAACUGAGAAUAAUGCCCGAUAGAACACUAUACCUGGAAUGGUUUGUGUUCCAAAUGAUUUAUCGCCAUAGGAUGGGACUGCGGCCUAUCAGUUUGUUGGUGAGGUAAUGGCCCACCAAGACUAUUACAGGCACGGGCUCUGAGAGGAGUAGCCCGGAGAUGGGUACUGAGACACGGACCCAGGCCCUAUGGGGCGCAGCAGGCGAGAAAACUUUGCAAUGUGCGAAAGCACGACAAGGUUAAUCCGAGUGAUUUGUGCUAAACGAAUCUUUUGUUAGUCCUAGAAACACUAACGAAUAAGGGGUGGGCAAGUUCUGGUGUCAGCCGCCGCGGUAAAACCAGCACCUCAAGUGGUCAGGAUGAUUAUUGGGCCUAAAGCAUCCGUAGCCGGCUCUGUAAGUUUUCGGUUAAAUCUGUACGCUUAACGUACAGGCUGCCGGGAAUACUGCAAAGCUAGGGAGUGGGAGAGGUAGACGGUACUCGGUAGGAAGUGGUAAAAUGCUUUGAUCUAUCGAUGACCACCUGUGGCGAAGGCGGUCUACCAGAACACGUCCGACAGUGAGGGAUGAAAGCUGGGGGAGCAAACCGGAUUAGAUACCCGGGUAGUCCCAGCUGUAAACUAUGCAAACUCAGUGAUGCAUUGGCUUGUGGCCAAUGCAGUGCUGCAGGGAAGCCGUUAAGUUUGCCGCCUGGGAAGUACGUACGCAAGUAUGAAACUUAAAGGAAUUGGCGGGGGAGCAC
rnacentral:rRNA from 1 species